rnacentral:rRNA from 1 species
CCAGACUCCUACGGGAGGCAGCAGUCGGGAAUAUUGCGCAAUGGAGGAAACUCUGACGCAGUGACGCCGCGUAUAGGAAGAAGGUUUUCGGAUUGUAAACUAUUGUCGUGAGGGAAGAAAUUGACAGUACCUCAGGAGGAAGCUCCGGCUAACUAUGUGCCAGCAGCCGCGGUAAUACGGAGGAUGCGAGCGUUAUCCGGAUUUAUUGGGUUUAAAGGGUGCGCAGGCGGAAGAUCAAGUCAGCGGUAAAAUUGGGGGGCCCACCCUCUUCGAGCCGUUGAAACUGGUUUUCUUGAGUGAGUGAGAAGUAUGCGGAAUGCGUGGUGUAGCGGUGAAAUGCAUAGAUAUCACGCAGAACUCCGAUUGCGAAGGCAGUAUACCGGCGCCCAACUGACGCUGAAGCACGAAAGCGUGGGUAUCGAACAGGAUUAGAUACCCUUGUACG